rnacentral:tRNA from 1 species
CCCUAUGUGGUCUAGUGGUUAGGAUUCCUGGCUUUUACCCAUGCAGCCCUGGUUCAAUUCCUGGCAUGGGAA